ACUCCUACGGGAGGCAGCAGUGGGGAAUAUUGCACAAUGGGCGCAAGCCUGAUGCAGCCAUGCCGCGUGUAUGAAGAAGGCCUUCGGGUUGUAAAGUACUUUCAGCAGUGAGGAAGGCGGAGUCGUUAAUAGCGGCCUCGUUUGACGUUAGCUGCAGAAGAAGCACCGGCUAACUCCGUGCCAGCAGCCGCGGUAAUACGGAGGGUGCGAGCGUUAAUCGGAAUUACUGGGCGUAAAGCGCAUGCAGGUGGUUUGUUAAGUCAGAUGUGAAAGCCCGGGGCUCAACCUCGGAAUUGCAUUUGAAACUGGCAGACUAGAGUACUGUAGAGGGGGGUAGAAUUUCAGGUGUAGCGGUGAAAUGCGUAGAGAUCUGAAGGAAUACCAGUGGCAAGGCGGCCCCCUGGACAAAGACUGACGCUCAGAUGCGAAAGCGUGGGGAGCAAACAGGAUUAGAUA
rnacentral:rRNA from 1 species